rnacentral:rRNA from 1 species
GAUGAACGCUGGCGGCGUGCCUAAUACAUGCAAGUCGAGCGAACGGACGAGAAGCUUGCUUCUCUGAUGUUAGCGGCGGACGGGUGAGUAACACGUGGAUAACCUACCUAUAAGACUGGGAUAACUUCGGGAAACCGGAGCUAAUACCGGAUAAUAUUUUGAACCGCAUGGUUCAAAAGUGAAAGACGGUCUUGCUGUCACUUAUAGAUGGAUCCGCGCCGCAUUAGCUAGUUGGUAAGGUAACGGCUUACCAGGGCAACGAUGCAUAGCCGACCUGAGAGGGUGAUCGGCCACACUGGAACUGAGACACGGUCCAGACUCCUACGGGAGGCAGCAGUAGGGAAUCUUCCGCAAUGGGCGAAAGCCUGACGGAGCAACGCCGCGUGAGUGAUGAAGGUCUUCGGAUCGUAAAACUCUGUUAUUAGGGAAGAACAUAUGUGUAAGUAACUGUGCACAUCUUGACGGUACCUAAUCAGAAAGCCACGGCUAACUACGUGCCAGCAGCCGCGGUAAUACGUAGGUGGCAAGCGUUAUCCGGAAUUAUUGGGCGUAAAGCGCGCGUAGGCGGUUUUUUAAGUCUGAUGUGAAAGCCCACGGCUCAACCGUGGAGGGUCAUUGGAAACUGGAAAACUUGAGUGCAGAAGAGGAAAGUGGAAUUCCAUGUGUAGCGGUGAAAUGCGCAGAGAUAUGGAGGAACACCAGUGGCGAAGGCGACUUUCUGGUCUGUAACUGACGCUGAUGUGCGAAAGCGUGGGGAUCAAACAGGAUUAGAUACCCUGGUAGUCCACGCCGUAAACGAUGAGUGCUAAGUGUUAGGGGGUUUCCGCCCCUUAGUGCUGCAGCUAACGCAUUAAGCACUCCGCCUGGGGAGCACGACCGCAAGGUUGAAACUCAAAGGAAUUGACGGGGACCCGCACAAGCGGUGGAGCAUGUGGUUUAAUUCGAAGCAACGCGAGGAACCUUACCAAAUCUUGACAUCCUUUGACAACUCUAGAGAUAGAGCCUUCCCCUUCGGGGGGGCAAAGUGACAGGUGGUGCAUGGUUGUCGUCAGCUCGUGUCGUGAGAUGUUGGGUUAAGUCCCGCAACGAGCGCAACCCUUAAGCUUAGUUGCCAUCAUUAAGUUGGGCACUCUAAGUUGACUGCCGGUGACAAACCGGAGGAAGGUGGGGAUGACGUCAAAUCAUCAUGCCCCUUAUGAUUUGGGCUACACACGUGCUACAAUGGACAAUACAAAGGGCAGCGAAACCGCGAGGUCAAGCAAAUCCCAUAAAGUUGUUCUCAGUUCGGAUUGUAGUCUGCAACUCGACUACAUGAAGCUGGAAUCGCUAGUAAUCGUAGAUCAGCAUGCUACGGUGAAUACGUUCCCGGGUCU